GGCGAACGCUGGCGGCGUGCUUAACACAUGCAAGUCGAACGGAAAGGCCCUGCUUUUGUGGGGUGCUCGAGUGGCGAACGGGUGAGUAACACGUGAGUAACCUGCCCUUGACUUUGGGAUAACUUCAGGAAACUGGGGCUAAUACCGGAUAGGAGCUCCUGCUGCAUGGUGGGGGUUGGAAAGUUUCGGCGGUUGGGGAUGGACUCGCGGCUUAUCAGCUUGUUGGUGGGGUAGUGGCUUACCAAGGCUUUGACGGGUAGCCGGCCUGAGAGGGUGACCGGCCACAUUGGGACUGAGAUACGGCCCAGACUGCUACGGGAGGCAGCAGUGGGGAAUAUUGCACAAUGGGCGGAAGCCUGAUGCAGCAACGCCGCGUGCGGGAUGACGGCCUUCGGGUUGUAAACCGCUUUCGCCUGUGACGAAGCGUGAGUGACGGUAAUGGGUAAAGAAGCACCGGCUAACUACGUG
rnacentral:rRNA from 1 species